ensembl:lncRNA
GAGGGUCCCCUGUGCUCCGUUUCUGGGAACCGGAUCUCGGGCUGCGGGAGGGGAACACAAAUGACAGGCCUCGUGCCAGCUCCGUUGCCGGGAGCGGGUGCUCCGGGCGCCGCGUGCGGGUCCGGGGACUGGAGAGCCCACAAAGAGGCCCUAAAGUGGAACCCAUCACGAAGGUGGAUUGAGUGGUAUGGGCCAGAGGCCCGUGGUAGGAGGAAUGGGCGCUGGUCGCCAGAAGGGCGACCGAAGAGGCGGUGAGCCGAAGAAGAAGCGGCAGCAGCCGCGGUACAAGCGCCACGUCGACCCUGUGCUCUCUUCUUGGGAGACCGCGGCGGCGCCCAGCCUUUAUACCCGCCCCGUGCGUCCCGCCGCCUCUCUGCGACGUCACGUGCACCCCCGGCCAAUCGCCAGGCGGCUUUCACCGCUGCGCGCAGCGGGCCAAUUGCGGGGCGCUUCUCGCCUUCUCCCUCCAGUCCGGCCCCGCCCCGCUCUCCGCGUGGUCCCUGAGGACCUGGGGGGCGGUGCAGCCACGAGCCGGUCGAAGAAGGGCGCUCCAGGGGUUGCCAUGGUGAUCCUAACGGUCCAACGGCUCCCUUUGGUGUCUCAGCUUCCGGUAGCUUUUUUUUUUUUUUUUUUUUUCUCUCGGUAGCUUCUGNNNNNNNNNNNNNNNNNNNNNNNNNNNNNNNNNNNNNNNNNNNNNNNNNNNNNNNNNNNNNNNNNNNNNNNNNNNNNNNNNNNNNNNNNNNNNNNNNNNUUCUCUCGGUAGCUUCUGAUAGCGGAUGGAGGAGAGGCGGUCGGCGAAACAGAGGUGGUGUGCAGGGGGCUGGCUGCAGGAGGUGUGGAGAUGGAUAGAGGAGAGUGGCAGCCGGCGCUGGCCGUGAGCCUGGGGCAUCUGCAGUUCAGACCCGGCUGGCUGGAGGGCGAGGACACGUGUGGGCUGGAGCAGACAUCGAUCCUGCAGCCACCAUCACGGGACGCUGUCUUCCAACACUACUAUUCACAACUCAUAUACGUGGUGAAGGUCAGGCCAGCUCUGCCCCCGCUUCCAGGCCCCCUUCCCGGAGUUGGGGGGCGCACAGACAUCGGCCUUCCUACUGUGAACCUGUCCCGAAGUUGAGGAAGAAACCCUCCAGCUCUCGAACCCGUGCCUCCUGCAGCCCCAGGUGCUCGGGGUAUUCCUUUAACGUCUACGCCUCCACGUCCUGGUGGGAGAACCUGGACCUGAGCAGCCCCAGCUCAGCCAACGAGUCCUGUGUGCGUGUGGGCUGGGGCUCUCCUGGGACACGGCCACAGGCGCCCUGCCCAGCGUCAGGUAUUUCUCUUGAGACGUUUUUCAGCCUCUCCAGUCAGAGCGCAGGGCAUCCGUCUCGCCCUCUGGAGACAACUCUCCAGAAGACGAGGACACCCCAGCUGACCCAAACACAGAAGAGCCAGAUAAAACUGGUCGGAGGCCCGCGGUCUUCAGGUACACGGCCCAUCAGCACCUCAGCAGUGAGGCCCCCACCCCCAGGGGGAACCACACCCUGCACGGGUCCGAGCGCCGGCCACGAGACGCUGGCGUUUCCCAGCCUGUCUCCCAGGACUCAGCCACCCAAGCCUGCAGAGACAUCCGCCUGCCCAGUCCCCGCGGUGGGAGGCCGAGGCCCGCCGGGGCCCGGGGUCUCGGGGUCUCGGGGUCUCGGGGUCUCGGGCUGGUCCCGCCCGGCUGAGGAUGCGCUGCUACCGUGGAUGCAGGUGGAUCUCCCGGCCUCCCGCCAGCCUCACCGAGUGACUGAACUGCUGCUAGGGUGAGGGGCUACUGGAGCCGGAUCUUCCCUCUCUGGGGGUCGCGGCGCCACCAGGGCAUCAGGGAGCCAGUGGGGUCCAAGGUCGCCUGGCGGCUUUGGAAGGGUUCCGAGGCCAGCCUUCUCACCCUCUGCAGGCUCUGGGCGCUGCUUCUGGGAGGAGUGCGCAGAGCUGGGGCGCACACUGACACACUGAUGGGAAUCAGGUGUUUCUCCUCCACCAGGUAGCAGUCCCUUCCAGCCAGCUCCCCUGGGCUGAACAACGGUGUCGAAGGUCACAGGCACACAAGGACUCGGGGGUCAUCACGGGAGGCUCCGGGCUGGGUUUCCGGCCUGCACGUGGGUAGGGCCCUGAAUGAGAGGGUGCGCGGGAUGGCCGCUGCCCUUUGGUCCGAGUCGGGGUUGGAGGUCGACCUCUGCUCAGCACUGAGCUGGAGGCCAGGCGCGUUUCGGGGGCGCUCUGCUGGCGUGUGCGGAGCCGGUGUGGGACCCCGGAGGACUGAGGGUCCCCUGUGCUCCGGUUUUGGGCGCCGGAUCUCGGGCUGCAGGACGGGAACACAAACGACAGUAGUCGGGCCAGCUCCGUUCAUGGGAGCGGGUGCGCCAGGCGCCGCGUUCGCG